AGAGUUUGAUCAUGGCUCAGAUUGAACGCUGGCGGCAGGCCUAACACAUGCAAGUCGAGCGGCAGCACGGGUACUUGUACCUGGUGGCGAGCGGCGGACGGGUGAGUAAUGCCUAGGAAUCUGCCUAGUAGUGGGGGAUAACGUCCGGAAACGGGCGCUAAUACCGCAUACGUCCUACGGGAGAAAGUGGGGGAUCUUCGGACCUCACGCUAUUAGAUGAGCCUAGGUCGGAUUAGCUAGUUGGUGAGGUAAUGGCUCACCAAGGCGACGAUCCGUAACUGGUCUGAGAGGAUGAUCAGUCACACUGGAACUGAGACACGGUCCAGACUCCUACGGGAGGCAGCAGUGGGGAAUAUUGGACAAUGGGCGAAAGCCUGAUCCAGCCAUGCCGCGUGUGUGAAGAAGGUCUUCGGAUUGUAAAGCACUUUAAGUUGGGAGGAAGGGCAGUUACCUAAUACGUGAUUGUUUUGACGUUACCGACAGAAUAAGCACCGGCUAACUCUGUGCCAGCAGCCGCGGUAAUACAGAGGGUGCAAGCGUUAAUCGGAAUUACUGGGCGUAAAGCGCGCGUAGGUGGUUUGUUAAGUUGGAUGUGAAAGCCCCGGGCUCAACCUGGGAACUGCAUCCAAAACUGGCAAGCUAGAGUAUGGUAGAGGGUGGUGGAAUUUCCUGUGUAGCGGUGAAAUGCGUAGAUAUAGGAAGGAACACCAGUGGCGAAGGCGACCACCUGGACUGAUACUGACACUGAGGUGCGAAAGCGUGGGGAGCAAACAGGAUUAGAUACCCUGGUAGUCCACGCUGUAAACGCUGUCGAUUUGGGGAUUGGGCUUAAAGUUUGGUGCCCGUAGCUAACGUGAUAAAUCGACCGCCUGGGGAGUACGGCCGCAAGGUUAAAACUCAAAUGAAUUGACGGGGGCCCGCACAAGCGGUGGAGCAUGUGGUUUAAUUCGAUGCAACGCGAAGAACCUUACCUACUCUUGACAUCCAUGGAAUCCUGUAGAGAUACGGGAGUGCCUUCGGGAACCAUGAGACAGGUGCUGCAUGGCUGUCGUCAGCUCGUGUUGUGAAAUGUUGGGUUAAGUCCCGCAACGAGCGCAACCCUU
rnacentral:rRNA from 1 species